UAACACGAGUGGCGCACGGGUGAGUAACGCGUGGAUAUCUGCCUUUUGGUUCGGAAUAACCCCGGGAAACUGGGGCUAAUACCGGAUGGUUCCUACGGGAUAAAGAUUUAUCGCCAAAAGAUGAGUCCGCGUACGAUUAGCUAGUUGGUGAGGUAAUGGCUCACCAAGGCGACGAUCGUUAGCUGGUCUGAGAGGACGAUCAGCCACACUGGGACUGAGACACGGCCCAG
rnacentral:rRNA from 1 species